UAUUGGCUUUUUUUCUAAUAA
rnacentral:piRNA from 1 species